CCCUUAGUUAUCCUAGGCCGCACGCGUGUUACAAUGACUUUUUCAGCAAGUUCUCCUGGCCCGAGAGGGUGCGGGUAAUCUGAAAUCAAAGUCGUGUUAGGGAUAGAUCUUUGCAAUUAUAGGUCUUGAACGAGGAUUUUGUAGUAAGUGCACGUCAUCACCGCGUACUGACUGCGUCCCUGCUGUUUGUACACACCGCCCGUCGCUUCUACCGAUUGAAUGUUCCGGUGAGUAAUUUGGACCCGGGGGGGCUUGCUCCUCUGGGGAAGUUUCGCAAACCUAUGCAUUUAGAGGAAGAAGAAGUCGUAACA
rnacentral:rRNA from 1 species